GUACGUGCUCUACCACAGAGCUACAUCCUCAGCCCAAGGCUCUCAUUUCUUGAUGAACUGACCUGGGUCCUGAUCCAGUUCACCUAGGCAUCAUUGCAGAUGUUACCAGUUGGAAACCGUACCCGAGAGUCCCUUGUGAAGGCAGAAGGCCUUAGAAGACCAAGUCCUCCAUGUAGGAACAUACUUAAAGGGGAUAUUAUGGUUUGAAGCUUGACCUUGAACAAGCUGAAUUUCAAGUCAAACACUGUUACAGAAAAAUUUAUUGAGGAGUAGGGGGGGUGUCUUGAGGCCAUAAUGGCUUGGGAUAAAGGAGCAUGUGAGGCUCAGAGUGGUGCUACUGCCUUUCCCCAACCCUUCCUGUUCCAGGUAGCUACUGUGCCCUGUGCCUGCUGAGAGCACAGGCAGGAGGCUCCCUGGGUAAAUACUGCUUCUAGUUUCUGAAGCCUACCUGAUGGUUUGUGCUGAUGUUUCUGGCAAUAAGUCAGGGCUGGACCUAUUUGGUGGAUAGGGCACCAGUGGGCCACUAUGCCCCCCCCCCUCUACACUUGACUCCUCCUCCCCUUGGAGAGUGUGGAGUGUUCUCUCUUCUGCCCAAGGAGAGACUUUAGAGGAUUGAGCCGAGAAAUGGCAGGUCUUCUUCAAGGUCAGCUUCAGCCCUGGCAUGUUCAAAGGAGCCUCUCCUUUCAAAACCCACGUUCUGAGGUUUCUUGCCUGUGGCCAGCUGACAUGGAAGGGGACCCCUGGCUGUGAAAGGCUCAUGCAGAUUGACUGAGGUACUGUCUCCAGUAGGGGCAGUGGAGAUCACUUCAGAAGAUGCAUUAGCUGAACAUAUGUAGCAAAGGCUACCUAAUUUGUAUUAUUCAUAUUGAUAUAGUUAAUCUUUGUAAGGGAAAAUAGAUUUGAAUAACCAUACCAUGACAAAAGGUAUUAUAGAUGCUGGAGUGAGGCCUGCCAGGCUCCAGUGUGCUCUGCUAUAUGCAGGGUCUUCAAGGCUUGUGUAUGACGUCCUGGAGGCAUUCCACCUGGUAUUUCCCUCCUUUCAAGGAUUAAAUAUAAAGCAUCAUAUGGUGUCAACCAACUAGCAGUCUUGAGCUAAUGGAUGAAGAAAAGCCCUUUAGAAUGAGAAGACUGUUUUCAAAGAAGUCAGCGUGAUAGCCAUUGAAAAGAAGGAGUAUAAAGAAAGGAUGGCUUUUAAAUACUGCUAAGUCUCUGCCAAGCUGUGAAGACACCAGUUUAAGCUGCUGUAGUUCCUCAUGACAAGCUAAACCACGGCCCUAGCUGUGACACCAUUGAAAAUCAUUUCAAAUCUUCUGCAGUCCAUAUCUUAAAUUUUUGUGUAUUGGAAUAACUUUAUAUAUAACACAACAGCAACGAUAAAAUUUUUAUUUCUCUAAAAACCAGGAAUUUUAGUUUAAAAAUGAAAAAGAAGUUUCAUUAGCUGACCUGGGUAUUGAAAUAUUUGUCCUCUCUACAGAGAGGCUCAGCCUGCAAGCCUUUGUGGGAAUGGUCUCUUGCCAGUGUGCUUAAAGCCAUGAAUUUGGGGGCUAGGGAAACACAGA
rnacentral:lncRNA from 1 species